GACGAACCGUGCGAACGUUAUUCGGAAUCACUGGGCUUAAAGCGCGUGUAGGCGGGCGGGCACGUCCGACGCUGAAAUCCCCCGGCUCAACCGGGGAACGGGCGCGGAUACGACCGGCCUGGAGGGACGUAGGGGGACCUGGAACUUCCGGUGGAGCGGUGAAAUGCGUUGAGAUCGGAAGGAACGCCCGUGGCGAAAGCGAGGUCCUGGACGUCUGCUGACGCUGAGACGCGAAAGCCAGGGGAGCGAACGGG
rnacentral:rRNA from 1 species